rnacentral:rRNA from 1 species
UACGUAGGUGGCAAGCGUUGUCCGGAUUUAUUGGGUUUAAAGGGUGCGUAGGCGGCUUUGUAAGUCAGUGGUGAAAUACGGUAGCUUAACUAUCGAGGUGCCAUUGAUACUGCAGAGCUUGAGUACAGAUGAGGUAGGCGGAAUUGACGGUGUAGCGGUGAAAUGCUUAGAUAUCGUCAAGAACACCUAUAGCGAAGGCAGCUUACUAGGCUGUAACUGACGCUGAGGCACGAAAGUGUGGGGGAUCAAACAGG